GAUGAACGCUGGCGGCGUGCCUAAUACAUGCAAGUCGAGCGAACGGACGAGAAGCUUGCUUUUCUGACGUUAGCGGCAGACGGGUGAGUAACACGUGGAUAACCCACCUAUAAGACUGGGAUAACUUCGGGAAACCGGAGCUAAUCCCGGAUAAUAUUUUGAACCGCAUGGUUCAAUAGUGAGAUACGGUCUUGCUGUCACUUAUAGAUGGUUACGCGCUGCAUUAGCUAGUUGGUAAGGUAACGGCUUACCAAGGCGACGAUGCAUAGCCGAGCGGAGAGGGUGAUCGGCCACACGAGAGCUGAGACGCGGACCAGACUACUACGGGAGGGAGCAGUAGGGAAUCGGACGCAAUGGGCGAGAGCCUGACGGAACAACGGCGCGUGAGAGAUAAAGAUCUUCGGUGCGGAAUACUCUGUUAUGAGGGAAAAACAGAUGUGGAAGUAGCCGAACACAGCGUGACGGUACCUAGUAAGAAAGCAACGGCUAACUACGUG
rnacentral:rRNA from 1 species